GUGAAAGGAGCCCUUUGCUGAGGCUAUUCAAGGCCAUGGGAUGGCCACCAAAGAGAUGACUUUGGUUAUGUGGGCCAGCUCUAAAUACAGAAUGUGCUUUGAAUAUAGAAGGUAUUCAACAAAUGCAUCUAAAUGAAGAGAAACCAAAACCAAGCAAAAAAAAUCUAAUUCUCCUUCCUCCCGCUCCCCAAACACAGACAUUAAAAGACUCCUCCCAAGGGGUAAGUGCUGGAAGAUGACAAGAGAGAAGCGGAGCCCCUAGAGAUCGCCCUGGAACCAAACCACCCUAAAUGGAGCCGGGAGGUCUGUCAAUUCCCAGAGAGCAACGAGGAAAUGGUAAGUAAAUGGCGGCAGUUGCCUAGAGAAUUAGGGAAUGAAUAACAAUGCUAUAUGGUAAAUUAACCAUGUUACAUUGUGCACAGCAAAGUGAUGGAAAAACCCUGUUAAAAAUUGAAUAAUAAUUUGCCCACAUCAUUUACGUAAAAUGCAUAAUUUUCCUACUUCAGUG
ensembl:lncRNA